rnacentral:rRNA from 1 species
UGGGGAAUUUUGGACAAUGGGGGAAACCCCGUUCCAGCCAUCCCGCGUGUGCGAUGAAGGCCUUCGGGUUGUAAAGCACUUUUUGCAGGAAAGAAACGUCAUGGGUUAAUACCCCGUGAAACUGACGGUACCUGCAGAAUAAGCACCGGCUAACUACGUGCCAGCAGCCGCGGUAAUACGUAGGGUGCAAGCGUUAAUCGGAAUUACUGGGCGUAAAGCGUGCGCAGGCGGUUCGGAAAGAAAGAUGUGAAAUCCCAGAGCUCAACUUUGGAACUGCAUUUUUAACUACCGGGCUAGAGUGUGUCAGAGGGAGGUGGAAUUCCGCGUGUAGCAGUGAAAUGCGUAGAUAUGCGGAGGAACACCGAUGGCGAAGGCAGCCUCCUGGGAUAACACAGACGCUCAUGCGCGAAAGCGUGGGGAGCAAACAGG